ACGAACGGCAAUCCCUUGGUUCAAAUAAUCCCUCUGCUGCCGUCCCUCGAUGUUCCUCAAUGUUUAAGCUGCCUCAAUGUUUAAGCUGCCUCUUCAUGUCCCUCCGACGCUCCGAGUCCUGGAUGGCACACAAAACACUCAUUGAUCGAAUGCGAAAUACGCGAACGCGAUUAGGGACGAAUCGUUCCAUUAGACCGGCGACGAUCGAAACGGCAAAGUCGGUGGCCGACCACUCACCGAUUGCUAAAGUCGAGUAGCCGUAUGAGCCGAUUAAUAACGUCGACAUAACCGUCCGUCACUGUACUCCGCAUUACUGGCACUCGCGUCCGGGUAAACUCACUCGGGAUAAAACAAAAAGACUCGUGAAAACACGGUCGCGACGCGACGUGCAGCCGGGGGCAAUCUUCGAAGCGAAGUGCGCCGUGCUUUAAGGUUAAGUGACGCGACCAACUUUACGCGAGACGCUUGGGUACGCUCUACGUCGCGAUCGAAAUUUUCUUGAGAGUUAAUGCAUCAAAAUGUUUAGACCACUGUGAGAAAAUGAGUCACACACGUUUGAUUUUCCAUUAGAUUGGCGAUGAUCGAAACGCCAAAGCCGACUACUCCGUCGGAUGGCCGUGUUGUGAGCUGAUUAAUACAUCGACAUAAUCGCCUGUCACUAUACUCGGCACUGCUGGCAUCCUCGCUCGGGAUGAGGCAAAAGGAUGCGUGAAAACGCGGCCGCGACGUACAACCACAGAAGGUCCUUCACGUCGAUGCCACGGACUGACAAUGAGAGAGAGUGCGAGGGAGCCGCGAGCUCCGAUUGCCAACGCCGGCAGACGCGUUAAUUGUACGAUGAUACGAUCACAUCGAGAUCACACGAUCGCCCGUCGUUGUUUUCGACACUCCGGACAUGACGGGCAC
rnacentral:lncRNA from 13 species